CUCAGUUCGGAUUGUAGUCUGCAACUCGACUACAUGAAGCUGGAAUCGCUAGUAAUCGCGGAUCAGAAUGCCGCGGUGAAUACGUUCCCGGGUCUUGUACACACCGCCCGUCACACCAUGGGAGUUGGAAAUGCCCGAAGUCAGUGGCCCAACCGGAAGGGGGGAGCUGCCGAAGGCAGGUUCGAUGACUGGGGUGAAGUCGUAACAAGGUAUC
rnacentral:rRNA from 1 species